rnacentral:rRNA from 1 species
ACGGCGAGUGAAGCGGCAACAGCUCAAAUUUGAAAUCUGGUCCUUUCAGGAUCCGAGUUGUAAUUUGCAGAGGAUGUUUCGGGCGCGGCGCGGGUCUAAGUCCCUUGGAACAGGGCGUCAUAGAGGGUGAGAAUCCCGUAUGUGACCUGCGACCAAGUCCAUGUGAAACUCCUUCGACGAGUCGAGUUGUUUGGGAAUGCAGCUCAAAAUGGGUGGUAAAUUUCAUCUAAAGCUAAAUACCGGCCAGAGACCGAUAGCGCACAAGUAGAGUGAUCGAAAGAUGAAAAGCACUUUGGAAAGAGAGUCAAAAAGUACGUGAAAUUGUUGAAAGGGAAGCGCUUGCAACCAGACCUGUCCGUGGGCGAUCAACCUCCGUUCUCGGGGGUGCACUCGUCCACGAUCAGGCCAGCAUCGGUUUGGGCGGCCAGAUAAAGGCCGUGGGAAUGUAGCUCCUCUCGGGGAGUGUUAUAGCCCACGGUGCAAUGUGGCCAGCCCGGACCGAGGACCGCGCGUAAGCUAGGAUGCUGGCAUAAUGGUUGUAAGCGACCCGUCUUGAAACACGGACCAAGGAGUCUAACAUCUAUGCAAGUGUUUGGGUGUCAAACCCAUGCGCGUAAUGAAAGUGAACGGAGGUGAGAACCCUUAAGGGCGCAUCAUCGACCGAUCCAGAUGUCUUCGGAUGGAUUUGAGUACGAGCAUAGCUGUUGGGACCCGAAAGAUGGUGAACUAUGCCUGAAUAGGGUGAAGCCAGAGGAAACUCUGGUGGAGGCUCGCAGCGGUUCUGACGUGCAAAUCGAUCGUCAAAUUUGGGUAUAGGGGC